CCUAUAAUAAAUAACGUAUUUUGUCUAAAUCUGAAGUAGUCCACCCAGAGUCUAUAUAAGUCACAUUCUACAUUUAGUGAGUUAAGUCUUCAGAUAACAUUCAGUCAGGUUAGUUCUUGUUGAAAAUCUUUCAAAAAAGUGUCUUAUCCAUCUAAAAAAAUAUUUAUAUUUUUUUUACAAAGUUCGCAUGAUACUCAAUGAGUUAUCAUUUGUUCAAUAUUUUAGUUUUCAUGAUGAGAAUUUAUGUGCUUUGAAAUAUGAUGAUUGGACGUUAGGGCAAAUACUUGAAACUCAGAUGGAGAUUUUCGAAUUUCAGAAUUUCAAUAGUCUGUCUUAGGAGAUCAAAGAUAUUUUUUUCAAUACCUACAUUAAUAAAGAAAUACUUAAUAUAUGCAAUAUGGACAUAAAAAUCUAAUUGGAUUUCGAAUUCUAAGGUGGCUUGUAACACAGAAAUACUGUUGUCAAGAAAAAAAAUCACCACUAAACUACUACCAGCACUUCUAAGAUGGGGUGAGGACACAGUAACAAAUUAUACAGACAACUGGUUUUUCUCAAUCUCUCUAGUUAUGACUGCUCUAACAGAAGUCUAGAGAUUUUGGGAUGGAAAAUAUUUUAGUUUUCACAGUUAUAGAUUUAUUGAACAUUUUUCAUCGUAUAGUAUUUAUUUUAUAUCAAGAUGAAUUUCAUAAAAUCUCUGAGAGUC